rnacentral:rRNA from 1 species
AUGAACGCUGGCUACAGGCUUAACACAUGCACGUCGAGGGGAAACGACGGGGAAGCUUGCUUCCCCGGGCGUCGACCGGCGCACGGGUGAGUAACGCGUAUCCAACCUGCCUCUGACUGAGGGAUAACCCGUCGAAAGUCGGCCUAAUACCUCAUGGUAUCGUCUGCGGGCAUCCAACGACGAUUAAAGAUUUCAUCGGUCAGGGAUGGGGAUGCGUCUGAUUAGCUUGUUGGCGGGGUAACGGCCCACCAAGGCUACGAUCAGUAGGGGUUCUGAGAGGAAGGUCCCCCACAUUGGAACUGAGACACGGUCCAAACUCCUACGGGAGGCAGCAGUGAGGAAUAUUGGUCAAUGGGCGAGAGCCUGAACCAGCCAAGUAGCGUGCAGGAAGACGGCCCUAUGGGUUGUAAACUGCUUUUAUGCGGGGAUAAAGUGAGGGACGUGUCCCUCAUUGCAGGUACCGCAUGAAUAAGGACCGGCUAAUUCCGUG